rnacentral:Y_RNA from 1 species
GGCUGGUCCGAAGGUAGCAAGUUACCUCAGUCGAUUGUUCACAGUAACAGAUGCGUGUUCUACUCUCCCCUUCUCAUUGCUGCACUUGACUCACUUAAA